rnacentral:lncRNA from 1 species
AAUAUAAGAAGAGCACCGAAGCACAUGUUGAUGAAUUUUCAUCAAUAUUAGUGAACAACAAGGGGAAGAAUGUAGAGAGAUGACCAUGAUUCUUUAUAUCUUUUUAAUCAAACAAACAUUUGGCUGUGGUGUUGUUAUUCUGAUUUUCCAAAAUAAAGUGUUUUUUUCUUUUCUCUUUUGCUGACUUGCAUAUAUAUAUGAAUGGAUAAACUAACCAGGGUCAAUCUUUUUAUAUAUGUAUGUCUUUGCCCUAUGUGUUUUUUUUUUCUUAGUUGUUGGUGAUUGUAUCUAUUUGUUACAUCUUGGUGAAUCUAUAUAUUUUGGUGAUUGUAUCUCUUCUUAGUCUUUGGUAAAAAAAAAGUAACGCCAACUAUCAGUCUAAGAAGGAUAUAGUCGUUUAGCAAAAAAAAAAGGAUAUUGUCUAGUUGAACUCUGGAAAGCAACCGUAAAUCAUGAAUCAUCACUAGAAUCUUCAUAUGGUGAUGAAGGCAUU